UCGUGCUCAUAAGCGCCGAGCUUCUAUUUUCGGCCGACUUGAUGUAGAAAGAGACAGAGAAAGAGUACUGACCUCUCUCCGUCUUCGCCACCUUCUCAAGCGUCGUGUGCGAAUCUCCGCACCGGUACAGUAUACGCGGAGAGGAGAAGAGACGAAAGAUAGAAACGAAGAAGACGGAGAGGGCGGCGCGUUUCGCAUACAAACCUCCCCAACCCCUCGGAAGCUUCCUAUCCUCUAGCUCUCACCCUACCUGCUUCAUUCGUUCUCUACCUCAC
ensembl:ncRNA K04H4.14 ncRNA